rnacentral:rRNA from 1 species
CAGCAGCCGCGGGAACACCGGCGGCCCGAGUGGUGAUCGUGAUUAUUGGGUCUAAAGGGUCCGUAGCCGGUUUGGUCAGUCCUCCGGGAAAUCUGAUAGCUCAACUAUUAGGCUUUCGGGGGAUACUGCCAGACUUGGAACCGGGAGAGGUAAGAGGUACUACAGGGGUAGGAGUGAAAUCUUGUAAUCCCUGUGGGACCACCUGUGGCGAAGGCGUCUUACCAGAACGGGUUCGACGGUGAGGGACGAAAGCUGGGGGCACGAACCGGAUUAGAUACCCGGGUAGUCCCAGCCGUAAACGAUGCUCGCUAGGUGUCAGGCAUGGCGCGACCGUGUCUGGUGCCGCAGGGAAGCCGUGAAGCGAGCCACCUGGGAAGUACGGCCGCAAGGCUGAAACUUAAAGGAAUUGGCGGGGGAGCACAACAACGGGUGGAGCCCUGCGGUUUAAUUGGACUCAACGCCGGACAACUCACCGGGGGCGACAGCAAUAUGUAGGCCAAGCUGAAGACUUUGCCUGAAUCGCUGAGAAGUGGUGCAUGG